rnacentral:tRNA from 1 species
GGGGGAUUAGCUCAGUUGGUUAGAGCAGUACGCUCAUAACGUAUUGGCCGCUGGUUCGAGUCCAGCAUCCCCUACCA